CCGAGUUUACAACUCCCAAACCCCUGUGAACAUACCUAUCGUUGCUUCGGCGGGAUCGCCCCGGCGCCCCCGUGCCCGGAUCCAGGCGCCCGCCGGAGGACCCCAAACUCUUGUUUAUCCCCCCCGGGAUGUAUCCUCUGAGCGGUACAAGCAAAUAAAAUCA
rnacentral:misc_RNA from 1 species